AUGGCUCAGGAUGAACGCUAGCGACAGGCUUAACACAUGCAAGUCGAGGGCAGCAUAAAAGUAGCAAUACGUUGGUGGCGACCGGCGCACGGGUGAGUAACGCGUAUGCAACCUACCUAUCGAGAGGGGAAUAACCCGGCGAAAGUCGGACUAAUACCGCAUAAAACAGGGGCACCGCAUGGUGAUAUUUGUUAAAGAAAUUCGCUGAUAGGUGGGCAUGCGUUCCAUUAGGUAGUUGGUGAGGUAACGGCUCACCAAGCCGACGAUGGAUAGGGGAACUGAGAGGUUGGUCCCCCACACUGGUACUGAGACACGGACCAGACUCCUACGGGAGGCAGCAGUGAGGAAUAUUGGUCAAUGGGCGGGAGCCUGAACCAGCCAAGUCGCCGUGAAGGAAGAAGGAUCUAUGGUUCGUAAACUUCUUUUGCAGGGGAAUAAAGUGCAGGACGUGUCCUGUUUUGUAUGUACCCUGAGAAUAGGGAUCGGCUAACUCCGUGCCAGCCGCGGC
rnacentral:rRNA from 1 species